rnacentral:rRNA from 1 species
AACGAACGCUGGCGGCAGGCCUAACACAUGCAAGUCGAACGCUCCGCAAGGGGAGUGGCGCACGGGUGAGUAACACGUGGGAACCUACCUUCUGGUACGGAACAACCAAGGGAAACUUUGGCUAAGACCGUAUACGACCUCCGGGUGAAAGAUUGAUCGCCGGAAGAGGGGCCCGCGUCCGAUUAGGUAGUUGGUGAGGUAACGGCUCACCAAGCCUUCGAUCGGUAGCUGGCCUGAGAGGAUGACCAACCACACUGGGACUGAGACACGGCCCAGACUCCUACGGGAGGCAGCAGUGGGGAAUACUGGACAAUGGGCGCAAGCCUGAUCCAGCCAUGCCGCGUGAGUGAUGAAGGCCUU